rnacentral:rRNA from 1 species
UACGUAGGGUGCAAGCGUUAAUCGGAAUUACUGGGCGUAAAGCGUGCGUAGACGGCUAUCUAAGUCGGGUGUGAAAGCCCCGGGCUCAACCUGGGAAUUGCAUUCGAGACUGAAUAGCUAGGGUACGGUAGAGGGAAGUGGAAUUUCCGGUGUAGCGGUGAAAUGCGUAGAUAUCGGAAGGAACAUCAGUGGCGAAAGCGACUUCCUGGACCAGUACCGACGUUCAGGCACGAAAGCGUGGGGAGCAAACAGGA